rnacentral:rRNA from 1 species
AGUGAACGCUGGCGGCAGGCUUAACACAUGCAAGUCGAGCGAGCGGCGGACGGGUGGGUAAUGUCUGGGAAACUGGCUGAUCGAGGGGGAUAACUACUGGAACAGGUAGCUAAUACCGCAUAACAUCAGAUGUGCCCAGAGGGGAUUAGCUAGUCGGUGGGGUAACGGCUCACCUAGGCGACGAUCCCUAGCUGGUCUGAGAGGAUGACCAGCCACACUGGGACUGAGACACGGUCCAGACUCCUACGGGAGGCAGCAGUGGGGAAUAUUGCGCAAUGGGCGCAAGCCUGAUGCAGCCAUGCCGCGUGUGUGAAGAAGGCCUUCGGGUUGUAAAGCACUGUUAGCGGGGAGGCGGUACUCGCAGAAGAAGCACCGGCUAACUCCGUGCCAGCAGCCGCGGUAAUAC